rnacentral:rRNA from 1 species
UACGAAGGGGGCUAGCGUUGCUCGGAAUUACUGGGCGUAAAGCGCACGUAGGCGGCUUUUUAAGUCGGUGGUGAAAUCCUGGAGCUCAACUCCAGAACUGCCUUCGAUACUGGGAAGCUCGAGUCCGGGAGAGGUGAGUGGAACUGCGAGUGUAGAGGUGAAAUGCGUAGAUAUUCGGAAGAACACCAGUGGCGAAGGCGGCUCACUGGCCCGGUACUGACGCUGAGGCACGAAGGUGAGGGGAGCAAACGGG